rnacentral:pre_miRNA from 1 species
CUGCUGGGUUUUGCACUCAGUAACAAGGAUUCAUCCUUGUGUCUAGCAAAUAACAGGGACAAUCUUUGUCACUAAGUGCAAUUAAUUCAGCGUGUG